GAUGAACGCUGGCGGCGUGCCUAAUACAUGCAAGUCGAGCGAACAGACGAGGAGCUUGCUCCUCUGACGUUAGCGGCGGACGGGUGAGUAACACGUGGAUAACCUACCUAUAAGACUGGGAUAACUUCGGGAAACCGGAGCUAAUACCGGAUAAUAUAUUGAACCGCAUGGUUCAAUAGUGAAAGACGGUUUUGCUGUCACUUAUAGAUGGAUCCGCGCCGCAUUAGCUAGUUGGUAAGGUAACGGCUUACCAAGGCAACGAUGGGUAGCCGACCUGAGAGGGUGAUCGGCCACACUGGAACUGAGGCACGGUCCAGACUCCUACGGGAGGCAGCAGUAGGGAAUCUUCCGCAAUGGGCGAAAGCCUGACGGAGCAACGCCGCGUGAGUGAUGAAGGUCUUCGGAUCGGAAAACUCUGUUAUUAGGGAAGAACAAAUGUGUAAGUAACUAUGCACGUCUUGACGGUACCUAAUCAGAAAGCCACGGCUAACUACGUG
rnacentral:rRNA from 1 species